UAUGGGAAAGGAAUCCGCAUUAUUGAAUCAUUCACAGUUCAUAUCAUUAUUCUUACACUUAGAUAGAAUCUAAAAAAAAGUAUUCUUUUUGAAGAUCUAAGAAAUUCAAGGACUUGGUAAGAUUUUUUUAAUACUUUUUUAUUUAGUCUCUUUAAUUGACAUAGAUACAAGUACUCUAGUAGGAUGAUGUACAGAAAAGGGUCGGGAUAGCUCAGUUGGUAGAGCAGAGG
rnacentral:tRNA from 1 species